UUUUUUGCUUCGCCAGGAAACCAAAGAUGAACCAAUGGAACUGCAAUACCCAGUUAAACAUUGUCUGGCAGCAGGACACCCACCCCAAUCUGCAUGAUAAUAAACUUUCAUACAAAGAGAACUACAGGCACACAUGAGAUUUCCUUGUCCAGGAGAAGAUUUUAGGUACCUAGCUAGUUUCAAAGCUGCCUCCAUGUGAGCCAGUUUAGGGGAUGUCCAAAAUUGACUGAGUACAUGAAUUGAGUAGGCUAUAUCUGACCUUGUUAUAGUUAGGUAGAUUAGUCUACCUACUAAUCUUUUGUAGGUAUUCUAGUCCAUAAGUCCAUAUAAACUUUAGAAGGUUUAACAUCAGUUAGACCCACUUCCUUUAAAAUAUCAAAUGUAUAUUUCCUUUGACUAAGGUAAAUAUCAGAAGAGGAUUUAGUAGCUUCAAUACCCAAGAAAUAUCUCAAAGGACCUAGAUCCUUCAUUUUUAACUAAGUAACUAAAUAGUCUUUGACCUGUUGAAUAACUGUAUCCAGUAAUGAUCAGUAAGUCAUCCAUAUAGACUAAUAAAGCUGUACAUCCAGCAGAAGAAUGAGAAAGAAAGAAUGUAUGAUCAACCAUGAGAUUGGUGGAAGCCAAACUGUUUGAGAGUUGAAGACAGUUUAAGAAACCACUGUCUAGGAGCUUGUUUUAAGCCAUAUAAAAACUUUGUAAGUUUUCAAACAAGAGGAACACCCGUAGAGGAAGUAGAAAUACCAAAUCCAGGUGGCAUUGUCAUGUAAACCUCCUCAUCUAAAUCUCCAUGAAGAAAAGCAUUAGAGAUGACUGAACAAGACUAUUUGGAAGACCUAUACAAUCCUUAAAUCUGAGUGGAAGAUGCCUAGUUCUAGCUGGCCUUGUAACAAAAAUAAUAGAAGGAGGAGCGUGAGGAAUUCGAAGAUCAUGAGCAGGUAGAGAGACAUAGAUUAAAGAAGAAGGCACAAUAUUAGGAACAGAUACAGACUAUACAUCGUGAGAAAUAGCACUAGGAGACACAGAAUUAUUAGAAGACUGCUGUGAAUUAGGAAAAAAUUAUAAGUGAUCAUUAAAGACUGCAAGCUCAUUAUCAAGAAUAGAAAAUAAAGAAGAAGUAGAAGAGAGUUGACAUUUAUGGUUGGAAAAGGAAAAACUGUUUCAACAAAAGAGACAUCUUUACUAACAAAACACUUUUUGAUUUGUAAAUCACACAUUUUAUAACCCUUUUUACAGUGAGGAUAACCUAGAAAAAUUUACUUGAUGGCUCUUGAAGAAAAUUUAUCUCUGUGAGGAACAGUAGUGGUGGCAAAACAUAAGCAGCUAAAAACCUUAAUAUGCUUAUAAGAAGAAGCAAUACCAAAUAACAUCUCAUAAGGAGUUUUGUUGUUAAGAGCUUUGGUAGGUAAUCUAUUAAUGUGAUAGGUAGUAGUAAUAAUGCAAUCACCCCAAAAAUAAAUGGGAAGAUAAACAUUAGGUCUCGAAUCCCUAGCUAUAUAUGUCAAGUACAUGUCUAUAUAUGUCCGAGACUAGCAAGAUCAUUAAACUCAGAAACAUUAUAUAUAUGAUCUGAGAGUCUUAACUAUGUAAUAAAAUUAAGUCUUAAAAUGAAAUUUGUGAGAAUAGUGGCAACUUGGGAUUUACUGUGAAAAAAAUAUGUCUAAGUACACCUAGAAAAAUCAUUUAUAAUUGUCAGAAAAUAAGAACAAUUGUUAUGUGUUUUGUGUUUGUAUAGUCCCCAAACAUCACAGUGAAUCAGAUAAAAGAUAUGCAUGCUUACAGAGGUACUAGAAGGAAAAGGAGUUCUUUUCUGUUUGGACAAAUGAAAAAUUUCACAAUGACUCAGAAAAGUAGAAAUACACUGCAAAGGUAAUAAAUUCAAGAUAGCUAGUGAGAUAUACGCCAAUCUAGCAUGCCACAAGUCUAAUGAACUACAUACAGAAGAAACCAUAGAAUCAGCAGAAUGAAUAUCAGCAGUGGACACAAGGAUAACUCAGGAGGAUUGAGAAAGAGGUCAGGAAUUUAAGUUUGGUUUGUCCAAUAUGUACAAACCAUUAACUUGUGUACCAAUCCAUUUCUCCCUCUUCAAAGCCUGGUCAUGCAAAACACAAAUAUUGGAUAAGAGUAACAAAUUAUAGUUUUUAUCCUUAGAGAACUCAGAGACUUAGAUAAGAUUAUAAUGAAAAUCAGGAAUACACAAAACAUUUGUUAGAACCAUAUUAUCAUGAAAUUAUACACAGUACCAAUAUGUGAAAUAACUUAUGUUUGACCAUUUGGUAAACGAAUUGUUAAUGCUACCUGCUAGAUGUUCCUGAUAGGAAAAAGUAAUUGUAGGAGUGGUAGUUUUCAAGCCUUGCUGAAUCAUUUGCAUGAUUUGAUAACACUGAGUUGGAGUAAAGGAUUGAGCAUUGUCCGUAGAUGUACUGGAAAUAGCAUCAGCCCCACCAGGUGGAGUGGAAUAUAAUUUGUUAUUCUGAGUAGAGGAUAGAGUUUGCCUAAUAGUCUGAGAUAGCACUGUAGUAGCACAAAGAACAGAUUUGUGAGGACCAGAAGGAGCAGUAAGAUUCUUAUUACUCUUGGGGU
rnacentral:lncRNA from 1 species